UACGGAGGAUGAAAGCGUUAUCCGGAUUUAUUGGGUUUAAAGGGUGCGUAGGCUGUUUGGAAGGUCAGGGGUGAAAGCCCGGCGCCUAACGCCGGAACUGCCUUUGAUACUUCCGAGCUGGAAUACGGAUGCCGUGGGAGGAAUGAAUAGUGUAGCGGUGAAAUGCAUAGAUAUUACUCAGAACACCGAUUGCGAAUGCAUCUCACGAAUCCGUCAUUGACGCUGAGGCACGAAAGCGUGGGGAUCAAAC
rnacentral:rRNA from 1 species